UAUCAAAUAAUGCAAGUAAUAUGUUUUUUCUUUUUCUUUGGCUGUCAGAAAACUAAUGCUACCCUUUCCAUUUACUUUAUCCCCUUGUAGAAAAUGAUUGUAUUUUACAUCACCUGUGAAAUAUUACCUGUAAACUUUAUGAAUAGGAGAGAGAAAUGAUAAAUAUAGAGCUUUUAUAUAGAAAAUAGUUAUAGUCUUUGUAUUUUACAUAUUUACUAUUUGCCUGAUUGUAAUUUUUUCUUUUAGGCUUGCAAAGAAAACAUCUAAUAAAAAGAACAAGGUAUUGUAAAAGUAAAUUGUCAAGAAUGUUGUUGAAAAUCCCUUAUUAAAGGUCACUUAAAAAAACAGAAAAUCUUUUGUAGUAAAGAUAUUGGCUUUGAAAAGGCAGCAGUAACCAUUCAUAAAGCUACCCUUUUAACCACAGUCUAUUAACUAUUUUAAUAAGUACUUUGGUUUUGCUCAUAAAAAAAAAUGAAUAAUUCCCACUGGUGUACAUUUAAUAUAUGCUAUAAAUAUUUGGGGGACAUUUUGAAACAGUGUUAUUUAUUUUAUAGGUUAAAAGACAUCUAUAUUUCAAGGAUGACCUCGAUGACAUAAUUCAGCCAUCUGAAACAACCUCAGAGGAUGAUGAGUUGCCUUACUCUGAUGAUAAAAAUUUUAUGUUACUCAUUGAACAACAUAGAAUAGAGUGUAAAGAUUUUGUUAGCCUAUUGAAAAUCAAGAAUGCAGUAUCUGCACAUGAAAUAUUAGUAGAACAUAAAAUAUAUUACUGUGAACAACUUACAGUGAAAUUUCAAAAAAUGAAAAAUAAGAUUAGUACACUACAAAAGGAACUGUCUGAAACAGACAAAACCGAAUCACAGUCAGAGCAUCAGAAACUUGAAUGGAAACAAGAGCUCCAUAAUUUAAGGUAAAACAUUCUAGUUUUAAAGAAAUAUUUGAGCUGUUUAUACUAAAGAUAUGUAGGAUAAUUUUUAUAAUAGUUGACUUACCUUCUAGGGUUUAAUAGAGAAAAAAACUUCUUAAAAUUGUGGAAUGUGAAAUUCUUGGGUAUAAUAUCACAAGCUCUUAAUUGUGAAUAUUUCUCUAAUAAUUAAUUGCAUAUUCCUUUAAAUCAUUGUUUAAAUGAUUAUAUAGAUUUCUACUCUAUGGCAAUCUCAUUAUUUAAUAAAUUGAAAUUGGGUCUUAAUUUAUUGUAUUAAUGCUGUAAGGAACAUCCUACAUAGCCAUAAUUUUCUCCAUUUCUAUUCAUUUACUUUGGAAAAAUGUUUCAAAAUAGAGCUAUCUGGUUAGAGUAUAGGAGCUUUUAAAAAAGAUUUUUGAUGAAUAUUUCUAAGUUGUUCUUAAGAAAGUUUAUAUUAAUUUAUAAUUCAACAGAGUAUGACAUGGAUAUUUUUCUCCACCCAGAGUAAUUAUUUCUAAAAUUAUUCAGUUUUAUUUAUUUUUAUUUAUUUAUUUAUUUUUUUGAGACAGAGUUUUGCUCUGUCACCCAGGUUGCAGUGCAGUGGUGGAAUCUCAGCUCACUGCAACCUCUGCUCCUGUGUUCAAGUGAUUCUUGUGCCUCAGCCUCCCAAGUAGUUGGGAUUACAGGCAUGCAUCACCAUGCCUGGCUAAUUUUUUUUUUAAGCAGAGAUAGGGUUUUGCUGUGUUGGCCAGAUUGUUCUCAAACUCCUGACUGCAAGUUAUCCACUGGCCUUGGCCAGACUGGUCUCAAACUCCUGACUGCAAAUUAUCCACUGAUGACAGCAUGAGCAACCAUGCCUGGCCUAGUUUUACUUUUAGUAUGCAAGGAAUUAAAAGUAAAAUGGAAUUUUACUUUUAGUGAUUACUGAUUAGCUUAGUCAACAUCUGUCUCUGCUACAGAGAUUAAAUUAAAUCAAGAUUCUAUGCUGAAAGCACAUAUUACUCUUUACUGUUUAAAUAUUAAAUUUUGUCUUGUUUGAGAAUGGAUUUUAACAUUGUUUGUAAAAUACAUAAUAAUCAAUAGGGUAAGUUAAAAGUGUUAUUAAAAAAAGAAACAUAAAAGGUAUGGGGUAACAUCUUAGAUUCCUUAGCCGAGGCUUGGAUGAUAGUUAUCUGCAGAUAAAUGUUGCAAGAAGACACCUGAAGGUGCUAUCUUACAAUGUAAAUCAUGUUUAGGGAUACCUGCAAUAUUUCAUGAAUAUGAAAAUUUAUUUCUGCUGAAGGUAUCAACUUAUUUAUAAAAAAUAACUUCUUUUUAAUUAGCUUACUCUAAAUGAUUCAUUCUGACUGAGGAGUAAUUAUUAAUGUGUGAAGAAAAGGUAAUUUUUAGCUUGCAACUUUACCUAAGAAUUUUCAAUGUCCUUUUCAAUAAUAUUUACUAGAGUUAUUAGUAACAGAAGCUAAUCAAUUAGCAGAAUGUUUAUUCCUUACUACUUUUCAAUUUAUAUAUGUCCUUUGGAAGACAUUGAAGUGAGAAAUUAACAUGAAAACCAGAAAGAAAAAAUAUUCAAGAGCAUGAGCACUUUAUUAGGAAAAUAAACCAGCAUACGAGUGCUUUGUUUUUAAAGGAUUUUAAGAUAAGUAUAUUUAACCACAGAUUAAUCUUACAACAAGAAGAAAAAAGAAGAAAGCCUGAAAAGUAUGAAAAAGGUACAGAAGAGUUCGAAAUAAUGGAAAAGNNNNNNNNNNGGGAUUAUAGGCACCUGCCACUAUGCUGAGCUAAUUUUUGUAUUUUUAGUAGAGACUGGGUUUCACCAUGUUGGUCAGGCUGGUCUUGAACUCCCGGCCUCAAGUGAUCCGCCCACCUGGGCCUCCCAAAGUGCUGGGAUUACAGGCAUGAGCUACCGUGCCUGGUCAAUUUUAUUUUUUUUCAUGUCAAUUUCACUUAAAUCUGAAAAUAAUUCAAUCUUAAAUUAUACAUUGAUGUGACCUUUCCAUUCUUCAAAGACAUCUAGUUUUUCUUACAUUAUAAUAUGGGGAAAAUGUGGUAAAUGUUACCAAACUAGAUUUGAUUUAAUCUUCCCACUAGCAUUUAUAAGUUACUUUCGAUUUUUUAAUGAAAAAUGUGGUCAUAAUUUUUAUUUCAAGGCUCAGUGACUCUCAUUUGGAUAUAAUGUCCUGUACAAAGAUAAGCUUAGCUGUCUGUGAUUUAUUAGUUUCACGUUGGAUCCCCAUUUUCAGAUUAAUGAGGGGUGGUAGGAAUGGAGGGAGUAGGGAAGAGAGACAUAGCAGCCAAGAUCAGGGAGGGAGGUAGAAGCCAGGUUACCUAGAGCAUUGAAGGCCAUUGGAAUGUAACUUUUCUUCUGAGAUGGAAAUCUGUUGGAAGGAUAUGAGCAGGUGACUGAAUAUGUGAGGAACUCUGAGGUUGAUUUGAGCUUCUUCUUAUAAAAAAGAGAGAAAACAUUGCACAGUGUAAAAUUCACUACCACCAGUCCCACCCACAUACCUGUUUCUUUUUGAGGUUUAAAAACCACCUCAGUGCAUAUUCAUCAGUGGACUGAAUCUGUUGUAUGAGUAACACAGCAGCAGUUUGGCAUGAAGAUAACACCUUCUUUAUCCUUAACUGGAUUCAUUAAUAAACAGGAGUGUAUACACAUGAGGGGGAAAAAGAAAGAAUCUGUGUGUGUGGUGAUACUUUUCUAAGUGUAUACAUUAGAGUUAAAUAUUACUAACACAAUUUAAUAAUAAGGUGAUAUGUAAAAUCCGUAACAAAAAUAACAUCUUAUCAGGUAGUUGUGAGAAAACUCAAACGAGAACUGGGUGAUGCCCUGAACAAACAAUUACUGUCAGAAGGUAUGCUAGAGAUUUCAUCACAACGUCAAAAUACUUUAGAAGAUGAGACACGAGAUACAAAAAAGAAAUUCGGACUGAUGAGAAGUCAGGUAUGUAUGAAACUUAGCAUGUCAACAGUUACUCUGUAGCUGGUUAAUAUCAACUGUUGUAGGAUACUAGUUUUAGUGGACAGCUUUUUUCAUAUUUUAAUUAUAAUUAAUUUUAUUAUCUUUGUAAUGCACUCAUUUCUCAAUCUCUG
ensembl:lincRNA